rnacentral:rRNA from 1 species
GAUGAACGCUAGCUACAGGCUUAACACAUGCAAGUCGAGGGGAAACGAUAGAGAAAGCUUGCUUUUUCUAGGCGUCGACCGGCGCACGGGUGAGUAACGCGUAUCCAACCUGCCCACCACUUGGGAUAACCUUGCGAAAGUAAGACUAAUACCCAAUGACGUCUCUAGAAGACAUCUGAAAGAGAUUAAAGAUUUAUCGGUGAUGGAUGGGGAUGCGUCUGAUUAGCUUGUUGGCGGGGUAACGGCCCACCAAGGCGACGAUCAGUAGCCGACCUGAGAGGGUGACCGGCCACAUUGGGACUGAGACACGGCCCAAACUCCUACGGGAGGCAGCAGUGGGGAAUAUUGCACAAUGGGGGAAACCCUGAUGCAGCGACGCCGCGUGGAGGAAGAAGGUCUUCGGAUUGUAAACUCCUGUUGUUGAGGAAGAUAAUGACGGUACUCAACAAGGAAGUGACGGCUAACUACGUG